rnacentral:rRNA from 1 species
GACGAACGCUGGCGGCGUGCUUAACACAUGCAAGUCGAACGGAAAGGCCCUGCUUUUGUGGGGUGCUCGAGUGGCGAACGGGUGAGUAACACGUGGGUAACCUGCCCUUGACUUUGGGAUAACUUCAGGAAACUGGGGCUAAUACCGGAUAGGAGCUCCUGCUGCAUGGUGGGGGUUGGAAAGUUUCGGCGGUUGGGGAUGGACUCGCGGCUUAUCAGCUUGUUGGUGGGGUAGUGGCUUACCAAGGCUUUGACGGGUAGCCGGCCUGAGAGGGUGACCGGCCACAUUGGGACUGAGAUACGGCCCAGACUCCUACGGGAGGCAGCAGUGGGGAAUAUUGCACAAUGGGCGGAAGCCUGAUGCAGCAACGCCGCGUGCGGGAUGACGGCCUUCGGGUUGUAAACCGCUUACGCCUGUGACGAAGCGUGAGUGACGGUAAUGGGUAAAGAAGCACCGGCUAACUACGUG